AUUGAACGCUGGCGGCAGGCUUAACACAUGCAAGUCGAGCGGGGAAAGGUAGCUUGCUACCUGACCUAGCGGCGGACGGGUGAGUAAUGCUUAGGAAUCUGCCUAUUAGUGGGGGACAACAUUCCGAAAGGAAUGCUAAUACCGCAUACGCCCUACGGGGGAAAGCAGGAGAUCUUCGGACCUUGCGCUAAUAGAUGAGCCUAAGUCAGAUUAGCUAGUUGGUGGGGUAAAGGCCUACCAAGGAGACGAUCUGUAGCGGGUCUGAGAGGAUGAUCCGCCACACUGGGACUGAGACACGGCCCAGACUCCUACGGGAGGAAGCAGUGGGGAAUAUUGGACAAUGGGCGAAAGCCUGAUCCAGCCAUGCCGCGUGUGUGAAGAAGGCCUUUUGGUUGUAAAGCACUUUAAGCGAGGAGGAGGCUACUUGGAUUAAUACUCUAGGAUAGUGGACGUUACUCGCAGAAUAAGCACCGGCUAACUCUGUGCCAGCAGCCGCCGUAACAC
rnacentral:rRNA from 1 species